rnacentral:misc_RNA from 1 species
GUAUUGAUUGCGUGUUAUCGCAAAAAUGGGGUCAUUCUACACUUUUUAAAAAGGGGUUUGUGUGAGAACGCAAGCCCCCUCCUGGAUCGGUUUGAUCCCGAAGGGCGCCCACGCGGUGGUGCACAAAAGGGUGAGAUGGAUUUUAUGUGAGAGGACACACUCUGGCGUGCACGACUUUUGGUCAGCGACAGCCCUUGCAUGCCUCACACAUUUUUUUUUACGAUAAUGAUCCUUCCGCAGGUUCACCUACGGAAA